GACGUAGGGCGCGAGCGUUGUCCGGAUUUAUUGGGCGUAAAGAGCUCGUAGGCGGUUCGGUAAGUCAGGUGAUUGAAAUCUCCACGCUCAACGUGGAGGCGCCACCUGAAAACUGCCGUGACUCGAGUCCGGUAGGGGAGUGUGGAAUUCCUGGUGUAGCGGUGGAAAUGACGCAGAUAUCUGGAGGAACACCGGUGGCGAAGGCGGCAUCCUGGACCGACACUGACGCUGAGGCGCGAAAGCUAGGGGAGCAAACAGGGGAUUGAAGAA
rnacentral:rRNA from 1 species